rnacentral:rRNA from 1 species
AACGAACGCUGGCGGCAGGCUUCAUACAUGCAAGUCGAACGAUUAAAGCCCCUUUCGGGGGGUAUAUAAAGUGGCGAACGGGUGAGUAACAGGUGGAUAAUCUGCCUUUCGGUGGGGGAUAACGGUUGGAAACGGCCGCUAAUACCGCAUUCGAUUGUGGUUGCUAUGGCAUCUACAAAGAAAGGGGCUUCACGGCCUCGCCGAGAGAUGAGUCCGCCUCCCAUUAGCUAGUUGGCGGGAUAACAGCCCACCAAGGCUAUGAUGGGUAGCCGAGCUGAGAGGUUGAUCGGCCACACUGGGACUGAGAUACGGCCCAGACACCUACGGGAGGCAG